AAACAAGCUUUAGCUUUAUUAUAUAUUAGUUCUGGAUCCGUGAAUGUUACUUUUACUGAAUGUUGAUGUGAAACCAAAAUGUACUGUGGUAGUAGCCGAAAGCUGUUUGAUCUUCUGAUGAUUAGUUGUGGAUAUAGCUGAGUUGUUGGUCUAGAAAGGUCUCAGGCAAUAAGACAUCUAGCCAGCCUUUGGUGUGUUGCUACUGUUUUCUUCCUCUGAUUGUACUAAUAUAUUUCUUUGUAUUGAAGCUUGCAAACACAGAAGAAUACAUAGACGGGGCGCUGUCUGGACACCUGGGUGAAGUUUUAAUAAGGUGUAACAACGUCCUUUAUAUCAGAGGUGUUGAAGAAGAGGAAGAAGAUGGGGAAAUGAGGGAAUAGCAGCUUUUGUGUGGUUUUUUUAUAUAUAUUUCUAGACAAUAAAGAUCUGUUUGUUUUUCACCUUGA